UACGAAGGGGGCUAGCGUUGCUCGGAAUCACUGGGCGUAAAGGGUGCGUAGGCGGGGUCUUUAAGUCAGGGGGUGAAAUCCUGGAGCUCAACUCCAGAACUGCCUUUGAUACUGAAGAUCUUGAGUUCGGGAGGAGGUGAGUGGUAACUGCGAGUGUAGAGGUGAAAAUUCGUAGAUAUUCGCAAGAACACCAGUGGCGAAGGCGGACUCACUGGCCCCGAUACUGACGCUGAGGCA
rnacentral:rRNA from 1 species